UACCGAAUGUUCGACUUCUCUUUUCCCUUCUCCCUUUCUCUCUAGACUUGUCCGAAUCGCGGUCUUCUACCCUAAUUUCUAAGUCUGUAAUUUCCGUUUUUGGUGAAAUGGUAGGUAAAAUAUGGUUUUUUGUAGACGCAAUCGCGACGGUAAACCCGAGCUGUUGUUUAUAUCCUAAAUCUAGGUUAAUCUUCAUGGCGAGGGGAUUUUUUUGUGUGCUUUAAAACAACAGAUCUGGAAAUUCAAGUACGUUAUCUUCGUUUACAACCUGGCACUAAUUUCACAUGAUGUAGAUGUUAAAAGAGCUCCCGGAGGUGGUGCGCAGUUCAACGCCGGUGAACACAUUCUCGGAACUGUUUGACGAAAUGCCUUGCAUAAGAAAUUGCUUAGACAAUAAUGUGCAUCAUAUACUAAUUACCAUCGUGGCAGCUAAUUUCACAUGAUGUAGAUGUUAAUAGAAUACAAAUCAGUCCAAGGAUGUACAAAGCUAAGUAUCCUAUUCCUUUAGUUAUUUCAUACCUUGUAAUGUAUAUUUGUUUAUGUAUUUGCAUUCCUCUUUAAGAUUUUGUCUAAACUGGAAGAUUAUUUCAUCCUAUGAUUAUUUAUGUGAAUUAGGGUUUUGAUAUAACUAUGAGAUUAGGGUUUUUGCACUAAAUAUUUAACAUGCAACUGAUAAAACUGCUGUAUAAAUUCUGUUUUGUUGCUAGACAUUAAUCAAUUUUUUUUCUAGACUUUCUAAUAAUUAUUUACAUUUUUUUAAAUAUACUUUUGUGUUCAUACAUCGUUUUUAUAGUGUUUGCUCAAACUCAAUUAAAAAAAAAAAACUAUUUUAAAAACUGUUUGCUCAUUAUCAGCCAUUUUUUUACCUUACUUUUUAUUAAUUUAUUUAUAAUCAGUUUUUAUAGUUAUUUAGUUGCCAAUUUUUUAGUUGCAUUUGCUAUCUCUUGUAUGGAAAAUGAUGAAUAAGGAGGCCCACCUAGCUUUGUGGGAUCUUAGAAUGGGGAAAUAAGGGCAUCUUUAGUCUCUGGACUUGAAAAUUUGGUGGGAUCUAAGUUUUAAAGGAUUGAAUAGGCUCAGAUUCGCAGCACCACACAAAUCUUUGUAAGUGGAGGAUGGUUGUUGCCUAGUGGUUGAUCUCACAAUGGGAAAGGAAACCUAAUGACUGAUCUGAAUCUAUGAGUUUGCAGAAUGUGGAGGUGUCUGAUCCCUGAAGUUUUAAGACUGCAAAAGGUUGAAUUGAUGAUAAACUGUGGAAAACUGUACUAUUCUGAAUACAUUUAAUGCAUAAUGUACUCUUUACCUGAUAAUUCUUUUAAAGAUUGAUUCUUUUUCCUAAUGAUGAUUGAAUUACAUUGAUAUAUAUCAUACUUGGAAAUCAAUGACUUUAUUCUUCAAUCCAACCUUGAUAGAUAUAGUUGAAAAUACAAUGUGAACAUGUAAAGAAGGCUACUAACCUUUGAUAGAUAACUUUUUUAUCUAUUAAACAGACAGAUCUCCUUCUACAUUUGCCCUGGUUAGAAUUAUUAAUCCCACUUUCAUUUGUUUCUAGGAUAAGAUAUAAAGUUAUGUUGUUAUAUGCAGCAGUGUUGAUGUAUAUUGUCUUAAAAUUCUACAUCUGCACACAAUAUUGUCUUAAAAUUCUUCACUAUAAAAUCUAGAGGCUCAUUUAUAUAAUAAUACCCGUGGUUUCAAAAAAUUAUUGUGGUGUACAGAAUUUUAUUUUGUAAAAACUUUCAAGUUGUGUUGUAUCGACUACAGUGUUUUCUCACGACCAUGUUGAAGUCAACAUUAGCCAAAUUUUGCCAAAUUUUAUGUCAAAGUUAAUGCUUACAUCUUACUUUCCGCUUGCAGUUCCUGUUUCUACUCUGUAUUGUAAUUAAUUACAUGCUUUACCUUAGAGACUUUUAAUUUUGUAAAGAAAUUGCUAUUUAUUUCGUUAUUUACUUUGGAAGGAGGAAUAGAAAUAGCAAUCAAUGUAUUGAUCUUUCUUAUUCAAAUUGAAAUUUAGGGCAAGAAGACACAGAAAGAGUCAACACUGAGCCGGACUAAGCAGUUGACUGAAGAAGCUGAGCCAAGUAAACCAAAGCUUCAAAUAUACCUGGAUAUAUUUGGGGAGCAAUAUGGCAAGGUUGUAGUCUUAACCUUUCUUUUCAAGAGACCCUUCUUUAGUACUCAGGUGGUUUGAACUGGAUAGAUGAUGAAUUUGGGAGUGCAGAUUGCUAUCAAGAGGUUUAUAUAGAUGCUGAAUAGUGUCUUUCAAAAUUGAAGACUUUCUUGGAAUUAUGAAGGCUGCACAAAACGGUUCAACAUCCAAGAUUAAUUUGAAUUUACAGUGAUGUAUUUAUUAAUGCAAAUGGCGGAACAACUUCCCACAAAUUUGGGAAACGAAAAAGGUGGUUGAUAAUAGAUGUAGUAUUUAAUUCAAAUACAAACACAUUUAUUUUAAAGAUAAAGCUAAUCCGAAUUCUUUGAGCGCAA